CUGCUCUCAAAUUGUUACGUGCAAAUUUCCUCUUAAUGAGUGACUAGAGAUAAGGCAGAAACGGCUACCAAGAAGAUUGCCACCCCUUGCUUCUGUCAUGGCAUUGGGAGUAUAUAGUAAAUAUCCUGGAGCAAAGUUCUCCAAAACCAUUGGCAAUACUUAAGUAGCUUCAGCCUCUCUAACUAGCAAGAGUGAAAUGAAUUAAAAGUUACUGCUCCCUGGCUAGUGGAACUUUACAAACUGGUUUUGGAUAAGACUCAGAAGAGCAAACAGACACACAUGGUCUUGCUUUUCUAGAAUUCUCUAAGGAAGUUUUUUAAAGGAAAUUGUUGGAUUGUGUGAAAUACUUUGCUACUGAAAUAAAGCGAUUGAAGCACUGAUGUCUAGUUGCUUUUCGAGUUUAUUCUUUUUAGAAUAAUUUGUAUGAUAUGAUCUUUUACAAUCCGCUGCUUAAUGUCGUCGUGAGAACCUAGGCCAAUGAGAAACGUAGACCUGUCUGUUGUCUGAGCUUAUAUGGUCUGCAUCAGCUAAAAUAGUCCCCUUUUAACUUGUAAGUCAAAGUCCACCUUAUGUCUGAGUACUUUACAUAGCUUUCCACCCCUCGCCCUAAGAGGGGAAAAAAGGGUUGUAUCUUAUUUGUAGUGAAAUUAGGGCUGGUUGUGAUGGUGACAUCCCUGGCACAUCUCAAGGCAAAAAGCUGGGAGGCAAAAACCAGGAGUCCUCUGCGUACUGGUCAGAAGUAAAUCUGCUGCACAGAACUUGGGAGGAUUCCCCCAAAUGAUCCACAAGUUCAGAGUACCAGCCUCACAGCUCACUUGUGAGAAAGUGCCGCGCAUUUCUAGCCAUUUCAAAUGCUGGAAGGCACUCAAAUUCAGAAGUUAGUGUUGUGGUGCAUGUAGAGAGCAGCUUAUGCGCUGGGUCCCUCAUUCGAGAGAAUGAGAAGCCAGCAGAUAUCUGAGCACAGGGAUGCGUGUUUGGGUGUUGAUGCAAAUGGGGAGCCUGUUGCAGGUAAGAAGACUGGAGGUGUCCCCUUGGAGCUGCUGCUUCUGAUUCAGAUUUGCUGCAUUAGUUUUUUAUGCACUGAGCGAAGCGGUGUGCUUUGGUUAUAGACACAUGGUGAGCACUGCUGCAGAUAACAGCCCCCUCUUCCGCCUCUGUAAGUGGCAUGUAGGCCGAGUUACCUUGUGUCCUUACAAUAAGCAUUUCCUUCCCUCUGCCCUUUCUGUUGAUGGCAGGAAAAUUCUCAGCAGUGUGAUACCAACACACAAGUUGGAGUAAGCAUUCCAGAUGGGGCUCUGGGAGUUCCAGCCCCGUGGCCCUUUAUAAGAGUUCUUCCGAAAGGUUAACCGUUUAUGCUAUGUCAGGUAAAUUUUAGAAAAAUUCUGCUCCCUUUCGAGUGCAAACUGUCUCGCCAUGUCGUUCCCCGUUGCAAAUGAGAUCUCUCGUUUGUUUGCUCUCCGGUACCAGCACUGCAUCUUUCUCAGGUAUUUAUAUAUAUAUAUAUAUAUAUAUGAUUUAUGUUACUUGAGGUAUUUGCAUUCUAGGUUGUGUCUCUUUGUUUUUCCAAAUGCACACACUUCUAAAAUGGGUGUCUUUACAUGUGAGCUAUUCUACCUUGCAAUGCUUUCCUUCUUGCGGAGCAGGGGGGGAAAAGUGCUAUCUUUCAGAAGGUGUGCGUGCUGUCCGCGUGUUCAGUUUGUGUCGACCAAAAUUCCCUAACCACUGUACUUGAUUGUCUUUGAAUUUGUCUUCAGGUUAAUUAGUUGAAACAUAGAAGGUGUGCAGAAACAAUUAGAGCAUGCAAGUGGUGACUGCUCAUAGGGCAAGGAUGGUGUCGCAAGGCCUUGUGUGCGUGCACUGCUUAUUUUGAAAACUCAGUGCCCUUGGCAUAGUGCAUGCAGUUCCCUCCGCUCUCACGAUCGCUCCAUUUUCUUCCUGAGAGAUGGUUGUUGCCCACCAUGGUCUGUGCAUAGCCAGAAUUGUGCUUUCAAGCUGGGGUUAUGUAGGAGAGGCAUGGAGGAGUUAACCAGCCUUUUCCAGGAUACACCCCAUGUUUCUGAUGGCAUAGAGAGAGAGAGAGAGAGAUGCGAGCCAAAGAACUGUCGUUCUGGCCUUCAAAAGUUCAAGGGCAUGUGUUAAAACCCUAGUCUGGGGUCCUUCCUAGUGAGGAAAGAGCAACUAUGUGGCCAAAGCAAAUACCAAUGAUGCUUGACUUUCACCCCCAAUGUGACUAGUGAUCAGAGAUGAUGGAAGCUAUAUUCCAGCAGCUUUCAGAGGGCCACAGGUCUCCACUUCCCUGUGAUACAGUCUACGUCCUUGCUUUCAUUUGCUUACUUGUCACCAUGUCCUCUUCUCCACAACUAACUCCUGGAGACUACUUUCCAUAAAAGAAUGCCCCCCUCCAUUUUAACCAAAAUUGUAGAAAUAGGUCUGAUAUUGUUAUAGUUCUAAAUUAUAAUAAGCUGGAAUGUAGCCUCCAAUUAUAGCCCCUUAACCUGGGAAGUCGGCUUAUAGCUGUGGCUGCAAGACUAUUGCCACUGUCACUCUUUUACAUACCAAAAUUUUAAGGUAGGGUACAGUCUUGCAACCUGGGAUGAAGUUCCGUUCUUUUUAAUGGAGCUUAAUUCUGAGUUAGCAUGUGCAGGAUUUCCCUCUAAGCCAGAGUAACUAUCCCUAAUAAGUCAGUUGUGGUUGUAGGUCUCUUUCUCUUUCUUUCUCUCUCUCUUUCUUCCUCUCUAUAUCUCUAUCUCAUUCUCAAUGGUCUCUGAAACCCUCAGAUAGCUCAUAGCUGAAAGGUGAAAAGGUAAAAUGACAUAUCUUGUUUUUAACCACAUCAUACCCUUUGCAUGGGUGCUGUCAAGACAUGGUUGAAACAUGAAUGUGUUCAUCAUUGAAUGUGUGCUCUGAAACAGCUUCGAGUGCUUAGAUGGAAUGAUAACUCGACCACACCUUCCCCUGGGUGGAAUCCAGUUUCACAAGGGUGGCUUAAGAGUUUUUUGGGGGUUUUUAAUGUCAGGCUGGUGGUCAUACUCUGAUUUUAGAAACCUGCUGUUCCAUGUGAGCACAUCUGAGUUGCCACCGCAGUGUAUAGCUGUUGUAAAUUAUUCCAAACAUCUGACCUGCUUUUGGGGGCCUUGGGGCGGCUGUCCUACAUGUGGGCAUUCUUGGGUUUUCAGCAUUUAAGUGAGAUUCCGCUUUAUCACAUCCCAGAGAUCCAGAAUCAGGGUAGUGACUAAUGCUUAGCUUUCACAGGUUACAGGUGAGGCAGUCAAAAUGUUCCUGAACAUCAGACUGCAGGUGGCAGAUUACAUAACAGGGUCAUUUUCCAUGGGAGAGGGGCCAAUUCUAGUUUUGUACGUACCUGUGAGCAGGCUGGGCUAGAACCCCUUUCCUUUCUAUGUGCACAAAUAUCUUUUUCCACGAAAGAAGCCUUCUGCCUUCAGUCUGAAGUGUUCAUGAACAGCUCCUCUCGGUGGGAACUAGGACUCACGAGUCUGAGCUGAGACACCCAGGACUCGCUGGGUGGCAUCUUUUCACCCUCUGCUUAUCUUCUAUAUAAGGUGGGGAUGAGAAUACCAUUCUGUAUUACAGGAGUGUUGUGAGAAGUACUAAGAUGAUAUGGGGCAAUCCUUCAGAAUAUUCAAAGUGAUUUAUGAAACAGAAUUUUAACCUGCACGGCUCCCAAGUCCUACAAGCCGUCAGAAUCGGUUUUAAGAGUUCUCUGUACAUCUUCCUUUCCAUGAUGCUGCACAGGUGAUGUGCUAAAAAGAAACCUCUUGUCUCCUCUUUUUUUAAGGGACCCUGUUUUCAUACUUUGGAGAGCUGCCGGGUUUCCUUGUAUUUCUAUCAGUCGGUCUGUUUGUUUGUUUGUUUUCCUCUUGUGUGAAUUUAGACCGAAGAAAAUGUGUGUGGAUCUGAAUCUGUAUUGUCUGCUCUUUGGUGAGACACUGAUCUGAAUUUGUUUUGUUUACAUCAUCUGUUAAUAAAAGAUUGGCACCGAA